rnacentral:rRNA from 1 species
UACGUAGGGGGCAAGCGUUAUCCGGAUUUACUGGGUGUAAAGGGAGCGUAGGCGGCAAGGUAAGCCAGAAGUGAAAGCCCGCGGCUCAACUGCGGGACUGCUUUUGGAACUAUCUAGCUAGAUUGCAGGAGAGGUAAGUGGAAUUCCUAGUGUAGCGGUGAAAUGCGUAGAGAUUAGGAAGAACACCAGUGGCGAAGGCGACUUACUGGACUGUAACUGACGCUGAGGCAUGAGAGCAUGGGGAGCAAACAGG